rnacentral:rRNA from 3 species
CACCGCGGUUAUACGAGAGACCCUAGUUGAUAGACACGGCGUAAAGAGUGGUUAGGAAAUAUAAUUAAUAAAGUCAAAUGACCUUUAGGCCGUUGCACGUAUUCUGAGAGCAUGAAGCCCCGCUACGAAAGUAACUUUAUCACCUCCGACCCCACGAAAGCUAAGAAA